CCUAAAUCCCAAAUACUGCCCUCCCUCCAGGGAUAGUCUGUCCAAUCAUUUGAACCAGCCUGGUACAACAUCGAAAAAGAAAACAUAAAAGCAGAUCUGGAAAAGGUCAGCAAAGUAGCAGUUACCGGUGAUGGCUAGACAAGCAUUUGCCGGGACCAUUACAUUACAGUUACGGCACAUUAUAUCACUGAGGGAAGGAUGAAUCAUAAAGUUCUUAAAACAAAAGUCAUCUACAAAACACAAACAGGGGCAGUGAUAGCCAAGGAAACUGGGGACAUUUUGGAUGAGUUUGGAAUAAGGGGCAAAAUUGCAGCUAUCACAGUGGAUAAUGCAUCCAACAUGGAUGUGGCAGUAAUAGGCUGCCUCACACACACACACUUAAUCUUGGAGCUCAAAGUCUGUACACAAGUGGCAAAAUGGACAGCAAAGAUCUGGAAUGUGAUCUUUUGGAUGAAGAAGUCAUCCAUGGCCAAGACUGUGCGCCAAGAGAAGCAACACAUUGUGAACCUUCCUCAGCACUCUGUCUUUGUUGAUGUCAGAACUCGCUGGUACUCUCUUUACCUCAUGCUUGAGAGGUUCCUCUAGCAGUAUCUUACGAUUCACACAGCGUCUUUGGAUCAAUGGCUGAGAAAGGCAAUGGAAAGGGACAGACUUCAGAAAAGCAGAGGACCUGUCAGUUCUGUACGCAUCCACACUCUGUGUCUCAACCCAUACUACAAAAGCUGAGGGAGCAUUUCACUUUGCAAG